AGGGUUGUAGCUCAGUGGUAGAGUGCUUGCUUGCAUGCAUGAGGCCCUGGGUUUGAUCCUCAGCAUCACAU
rnacentral:tRNA from 1 species